rnacentral:misc_RNA from 1 species
GAUGAAGAACUUAGCGAAAUGCGAUAAGUAGUGUGAAUUGCAGAAUUCAGUGAAUCAUCGAAUCUUUGAACGCACAUUGCGCCCCUUGGUAUUCCAUGGGGCAUGCCUGUUCGAGCGUCAUUUGUACCUUCAAGCUCUGCUUGGUGUUGGGUGUUUGUCUCGCCUUUGCGUGUAGACUCGCCUUAAAACCAUUGGCAGCCGGCGUAUUGAUUUCGGAGCGCAGUACAUCUCGCGCUUUGCACUCAGAACGACGACGUCCAAAAGUACAUUUUUACACUCUUGACCUCGGAUCAGGUAGGGAUACCCGCUGAACUUAAGCAUAUCAAUAAGCGGAGGA